AGGUCCUCACGGCUCAUCCAGCAGAGGACAUCAUCCUUGGUGUAGUCCUCAGCCAGGAACUGUGGGGGCACAAGUGUGGUAAGGCGAGGUGUGAUGAGGCAUGGUGUGGUGAGGUGCAAUCCUCACGGUGGUGCAAAGGGGAAACCCUUGCCUUGUCAAUGACAUCACGGUCGAUGCCAAGCUUCUGCAGCCACAGGACGAGCUCCAUGUCAAUGUUGCGGGAGGAGACGUGCACCAUGGGUGUGUCCGGUGGCAGCGGGGGCAUGGCAGGCGAGGCAGCGGCACUCUGCAGGGAGGGAGACACUUGUCGUCAACAACAACAACAGUGCUUGCUUCACCUCCUGCCCCACAUACUGAACAGUGGAGGGAGAGGGAGAAAGCAAGUGUAGUAUUAAAGUUGUGUGUACUUGUAAAAGACACUUAUCAGUUCAACACACUCAUCUAUGGUGUUGCAAAUGGGAGGGACAACAGGUGUGCAAGAACGCUCACCUCGGCUGUCAUGGUGGUGGCACUGCAGGUGGAGUCCACUGUGCUGGCAGAGGAGUGUGAGGCACUGCCCUCCUCCUGGCAAAGCCUCUUCCCGGCAGGGGUGCUGGUGGCCCCCAAACCCAGGGGUGGCAGGGGCACGCCCAUCUGGUCCGCUAGGUGCUGGCUCUGCUCUUGCCGCUCCGAGAGGAACAUCUUGAGCAGGUCCCCAUAGCGCUUCUCUGAGAGGUACAGCUCCUCCAGCAGCCUGCAACGGUGAUGGCAACAGUGAGGACAGCAACACCACUGGCACCCACCAAGCCACACCACACACUAGCCACCGCUGACCAGGAUGUAACACCAAGAACACAAACACAUGGAGUCUUGAGGUUACUGCAAUACCCUUCACCUCAUACCCCAUGCCUGGUUACCUGAGUUAGCCACCACCAGGUGUGUUCAUUUAUGGACCUGAAGAUGCCUGAACACCUGGGUGGGCUGAGCUACCUGUGGCUACCUGGGGUCCCUGUGGCUACCUGUGGGUGGGGGAGUCAAUACGGGAGUGCUGACCUGAGGUUCUCCACCCGGGAUGCCUGGAGGUUGUCCUGCAGGUGGUGGCAGUGCUUGGAGUGGUGGAGGUCCCGCAGCAGCUUGGCAGACUUGGUGGAGUUGAUGGUGGACACUCCCGAGGUGCUGCCCUCCUCCACUGCAUCCCGAGGCCGCUCCAGCACGCCGCCCACUGCCUCUGCCGGGCCCAGGAGCUCCUCAUGCUCUGCGGACAUACACAUCAGACUAAUUUUACAGAAUACAGCACAGAAUGUGAGGUGGUGACGGGUGGCAGCGACCCACCUGGGGAGAGCACAGUGAUGGCACAGUGCACAGCGCUGCGCAGCAAGUCAUCCAGCGCAAACAUCCAGUGUGGCUUGAUGCUG